GGGAAUAUUGCACAAUGGGGGAAACCCUGAUGCAGCGACGCCGCGUGAGUGAAGAAGUAUUUCGGUAUGUAAAGCUCUAUCAGCAGGAACGAGACAAGACGGUACCUGACUAAGAAGCCCCGGCUAACUACGUGCCAGCAGCCGCGGUAAUACGUAGGGGGCAAGCGUUAUCCGGAAUCACUGGGUGUAAAGGGAGCGUAGACGGCUGAGCAAGCCUGAAGUGAAAGGCGGGGGCCCAACCCCUGGACUGCUUUGGGAACUGUACGGCUGGAGUGCAGGAGAGGUAAGUGGAAUUCCUAGUGUAGCGGUGAAAUGCGUAGAGAUCGGGAGGAACACCAGUGGCGAAGGCGGCCUACUGGGCUUUAACUGACGCUGAGGCACGAAAGCGUGGGUAGCAAACAGG
rnacentral:rRNA from 1 species